GAAAAGAACGCUACAUCUUCAGACGGGUUCUUUUAAAAUAACUCUUUUUAACUUGACACGGCGAUUUUGAAAGCAACUAUGAGUGCUAAACUGUAGUCAAGCCGUAGCAUUAUUUGUUAGAAAUACCUGGUUGCGACGAAAAUAGUAUGCGUGCUUAGUAUGAUAAUUACGGUAAUGUGCAGGCAGUAACAAACAACACGCAUUCUGAGAUUGUCAACGAGUCUUUAGCAAACCCAUCACCCCCACCUCCUCAAGCAGAGUAUAUAUAACAUUGAAACUUAUUUAAAUAAUACCAGCUGAUGACUGCUGUGCAGUGGAAAUAUCGAUCAUCUUGAUAAAACCUCAGUAUAUCAUCAGGAGCAACAGGCCACAUUUUCAGCUAAAAAUCUUCUUUGCUGUUCUGCUGAAGAAAAAUACUCAUGAACAUCUUGGGUGGCGUAAGGAUCUUUGCAGGAUUCAGUCGCAUAUCUCGGAUCUGAGUUCUGCGCAGCACUGGACACAGACUCUGCACUUUUGACAUUUUCUAGAAAAAAGGAUUUUAAAUUUCACAUCAAGUUAAUUAAAAGUCAUCUGAUGUUUCCACUGCAGUACUUCAGGGCCUUUCAGUCAUCCUGGAGGAUGACCCACAGGAAUUUUACAGGAUGUGUUUCGAUGUGGAUGCAGACUUCAGUCAAGCAGUUGUAGACCUGCUCACAGUUCUACCAGAGGACAUGCCCUCAUUGUGGAUGCAAUAAAGGCAAUCAUGGAGGGAAGAAUUGUCAUGAAUGGGUUUUAAAGGCCUGUAUUUUAUUUUUGCUGUUCUGUUUGCAUGCCAUUCUGAAAAUGCUCUAUUGUUUAACAGUGUUCCAGUGGGUCCAGAUAAUGUUAUGACAACAAAGUGCUGUUUAGUUAAGAAGUCUGUAAAGAGUAUUAUAAGAACACAGAUGUUUU